GAUGAAGAACGCAGCGAAAUGCGAUACGUAAUGUGAAUUGCAGAAUUCCGUGAAUCAUCGAAUCUUUGAACGCACAUUGCGCCUUUGGGUUAUUCCCAAAGGCAUGCCUGUUCGAGCGUCAUUUCAACCCUCAAGCACAGCUUGGUGUUGGGACUCGCGUUAAUUCGCGUUCCUCAAAUUGAUUGGCGGUCACGUCGAGCUUCCAUAGCGUAGUAGUAAAACCCUCGUUACUGGUAAUCGUCGCGGCCACGCCGUUAAACCCCAACUUCUGAAUGUUGACCUCGGAUCAGGUAGGAAUACCCGCUGAACUUAAGCAUAUCAAUAAGCGGAGGA
rnacentral:misc_RNA from 1 species